GCCCAAGUGGCGGAAUGGUAGACGCAGGGGAUUCAAAAUCCCCCGCUGGUGACAGCGUGCCGGUUCGAGUCCGGCCUUGGGUA
rfam:Silicibacter sp. TM1040, complete genome.